AACGAACGCUGGCGGCAUGCCUAACACAUGCAAGUCGAACGCCCCGCAAGGGGAGUGGCGAACGGGUGAGUAACGCGUGGGAAUCUACCCAGCAGUUGGGGAUAACCGCGGGAAACUGCGGCUAAUACCGAAUACGUCCUAAGGGAGAAAGAUUUAUCGCUGUUGGAGGAGCCCGCGUCGGAUUAGCUAGUUGGCGGGGUAACGGCCCACCAAGGCUUCGAUCCGUAGCUGGUCUGAGAGGAUGAUCAGCCACACUGGGACUUAGACACGGCCCAGACUCCUGCGGGAGGCAGCAGUGGGGAAUAUUGGACAAUGGGGGCAACCCUGAUCCAGCAAUGCCGCGUGAGUGAUGAAGGCCUUAGGGUUGUAAAGCUCUUUUGCCAGGGACGAUGAUGACGGUACCUGGAGAAUAAGCCCCGGCUAACUUCGUGCCAGCAGCCGCCGUAACAC
rnacentral:rRNA from 1 species